GAUGAACGCUGGCGGCGUGCCUAAUACAUGCCAGUCGAGCGAACGGACGAGAAGCUUGCUUCUCUGAUGUUAGCGGCGGACGGGUGAGUAACACGUGGAUAACCUACCUAUAAGACUGGGAUAACUUCGGGAAACCGGAGCUAAUACCGGAUAAUAUUUUGAACCGCAUGGUUCAAAAGUGAAAGACGGUCUUGCUGUCACUUAUAGAUGGAUCCGCGCUGCAUUAGCUAGUUGGUAAGGUAGCGGCUUACCAAGGCAACGAUGCAUAGCCGACCUGAGAGGGUGAUCGGCCACACUGGAACUGAGACACGGUCCAGACUCCUACGGGAGGCAGCAGUAGGGAAUCUUCCGCAAUGGGCGAAAGCCUGACGGAGCAACGCCGCGUGAGUGAUGAAGGUCUUCGGAUCGUAAAACUCUAUUAUUAGGGAAGAACAUAUGUGUAAGUAACUGUGCACAUCUUGACGGUACCUAAUCAGAAAGCCACGGCUAACUACGUG
rnacentral:rRNA from 1 species